rnacentral:misc_RNA from 1 species
AAAUAUGAGGACUAAAUUGAUAACUGAAAGUCAUUUAAAAAAGAAAGAAAGAAAGUCCAAAUCAGAAUAAGCGACGUGGGUGGAACUGCAUACAUGAUGAUUAAACAUAUAAUUAAUUUCAAUGAGUUGAACUGCUUGUGGCACUGUAAUCUCUGUGCUCUUGUGAUCCCAUAUGGAAAUGUGCUAUGUGAGCUAUUUUUGGCCAAUCCUCACCAACAUCCCUUCUGCAUCGUUCCUCCAGGAUAGAACAUUCUUGAAUAGACAAAUGCUGAAGGGAACUUAAAUGCUGAAAUCCUUCAGGCAGAGAUUUUAAAUUUUGACACGAAGUAAGGUAAGGUUGACUAACCACUCUGGCAAUGCUUUCAAACUAGGACAGCCACGAAUUUCCAAAUUUUGCAAGGUGGUAACAUAUUGUAGGCCCUGUGGAAGAGAUGACAGCUUUGGAAGAUUUAAAAUGGACAAACUUCCAAGAGCACAUGGAUGUUGAAAAUCAUCAGGCAAGGCAGCCAAUUGUGGACAGUACAUGACAGUUAGAUGCUCAAGUGGCGCUGGAAAUUGAAGUUCAAGUGGCAGAGAUGUGAGGUUAUUGCAAUUCUCAAUGGACAGAGAUCGCAGAGAUCUCAGACCUUGUAUAUCUUCCGGCAAGGAGACAAGACUAUGGCACUCAACUAUCUCCAAGGACUCUAGAGAAGUGAGAUUCUGCAAUCCAUGUGGCAAAGAAUGGAGCUCCAUACACCAACGAACAGCCAAUGACUUCAGACUUUUGAGUUCUGCUAAACUCGGGGAGAUGGAGCAAAGCUUAGGACAGGAACUAAUCACUAGAGACAUUAGAAGAG